GAUCUCCUGUUGAAGUCUUUUUUCCUGAAGAACUGAAACGAAUAGCAUCUAUUGGCAUGUGUGUCUGGAGGGUGUACUUGGGAGCUAUGCACCUGAUUUUAGCCCACUGAAAUCAGUCUCGUCUCUUCUCUCUUGGUGCAGUUCUGCAGCCUGGCCCACCACCCCCACCACAUGGCAGAUAACCAUGCACGUGUUUCAGGAGGAGCAUAGAUAGCACUUGUGAGAGCCAGGUUGGGUGAAAAGUGUCAUGUUCUCCAGCUCUCAGAGACCUAUGCUCAUGUUGCUGCUUCUGAUCCCACAGUUGCAGACAUCAAGAUGUGAAAAUAAAGAUCCAGGUGAUUACUUCUGAAUCUAGCAACACUGGACCUCUGAAUCAGGAAGAUCAGACAUCAUCAUGCCUCUCCAGGUACCUCUCCAAACUCUGUUGAGCUAAACACAGGCACCUUCAAAACAAGCCAAGCCAGGCAGAGCUUACAUUUUUGUUUUGCGAGUCUUACAUAUUAAUCUCUGAGACCAGACACAUCUGGGAUUAAGUGCUCUGGAUGGCACAUCAAAGCUCCUCAUUUCCGGUCACACAAUGCACCAGCUAUUAAUGACAGGCAGAUCUGAUCACGUCCCCUCUGCGCCCCAGGAU